rnacentral:piRNA from 1 species
UACCAUGCACUAGGCUAGAAAUAAAGAGG